AUUGAACGCUGGCGGCAUGCCUUACACAUGCAAGUCGAACGGUAACAGGUCUUCGGAUGCUGACGAGUGGCGAACGGGUGAGUAAUACAUCGGAACGUGCCCGAGAGUGGGGGAUAACGAGGCGAAAGCUUUGCUAAUACCGCAUACGAUCUCAGGAUGAAAGCAGGGGACCGCAAGGCCUUGCGCUCACGGAGCGGCCGAUGGCAGAUUAGGUAGUUGGUGGGAUAAAAGCUUACCAAGCCGACGAUCUGUAGCUGGUCUGAGAGGACGACCAGCCACACUGGGACUGAGACACGGCCCAGACUCCUACGGGAGGCAGCAGUGGGGAAUUUUGGACAAUGGGCGCAAGCCUGAUCCAGCCAUGCCGCGUGCAGGAUGAAGGCCUUCGGGUUGUAAACUGCUUUCGUACGGAACGAAAAGACUCUAGUUAAUACCUGGGGUCCAUGACGGUACCGUAAGAAUAAGCACCGGCUAACUACGUGCCAGCCGCCGCCGUAAAAC
rnacentral:rRNA from 1 species